AGUGAACGCUGGCGGUAGGCCUAACACAUGCAAGUCGAACGGCAGCACAGUAAGAGCUUGCUCUUACGGGUGGCGAGUGGCGGACGGGUGAGGAAUACAUCGGAAUCUACUUUUUCGUGGGGGAUAACUUAGGGAAACUUACGCUAAUACCGCAUACGACCUACGGGUGAAAGCAGGGGAUCUUCGGACUUUGCGCGAUUGAAUGAGCCGAUGUCGGAUUAGCUAGUUGGCGGGGUAAAGGCCCACCAAGGCGACGAUCCGUAGCUGGUCUGAGAGGAUGAUCAGCCACACUGGAACUGAGACACGGUCCAGACUCCUACGGGAGGCAGCAGUGGGGAAUAUUGGACAAUGGGCGCAAGCCUGAUCCAGCCAUACCGCGUGGGUGAAGAAGGCCUUCGGGUUGUAAAGCCCUUUUGUUGGGAAAGAAAAGCAGCAGGUUAAUACCCCGCUGUUCUGACGGUACCCAAAGAAUAAGCACCGGCUAACUUCGUG
rnacentral:rRNA from 1 species